GCGAUGCUUUAGAGAUAAAGCGGAGGGUAUUCGGGGAGACGAGGUGGUGCAUGGUUGUCGUCAGCUCGUGUCGUGAGAUGUUGGGUUAAGUCCCGCAACGAGCGCAACCCCUAUUGCUAGUUACCAUCAUUAAGUUGGGGACUCUAGCGAGACUGCCAGUGAUAAACUGGAGGAAGGUGGGGAUGACGUCAAAUCAUCAUGCCCCUUAUGACCUGGGCUACAAACGUGAUACAAUGGCUGGAACAAAGGGAUGCGAAGCAGUGAUGUGGAGCGAAACCCAUAAAAACAGUCUCAGUUCGGAUUGAAGUCUGCAACUCGACUUCAUGAAGUCGGAAUCGCUAGUAAUCGCGGAUCAGAACGCCGCGGUGAAUACGUUCUCGGGGUUU
rnacentral:rRNA from 1 species